rnacentral:rRNA from 1 species
AUUGAACGCUGGCGGCAUGCUUUACACAUGCAAGUCGAACGGUAACAGGCCGCAAGGUGCUGACGAGUGGCGAACGGGUGAGUAAUGCAUCGGAACGUGCCCAGUCGUGGGGGAUAACUACUCAAAAGAGUAGCUAAUACCGCAUACGAUCUAUGGAUGAAAGCGGGGGACCGUAAGGCCUCGCGCGAUUGGAUCGGCCGAUGUCAGAUUAGGUAGUUGGUGGGGUAAAGGCUCACCAAGCCAACGAUCUGUAGCUGGUCUGAGAGGACGACCAGCCACACUGGGACUGAGACACGGCCCAGACUCCUACGGGAGGCAGCAGUGGGGAAUUUUGGACAAUGGGCGCAAGCCUGAUCCAGCAAUGCCGCGUGCAGGAAGAAGGCCUUCGGGUUGUAAACUGCUUUUGUACGGAACGAAACGGCUCUGGUUAAUACCCGGGGCUAAUGACGGUACCGUAAGAAUAAGCACCGGCUAACCACGUG